rnacentral:piRNA from 1 species
UAGGAUUGUCUUUAGCUCGAGGUUG